GGGAAAACAAUUUCCCCAAAAACACAAAGUUUUGGUCCUAAACUUGCCGAUGUUUUUUAUCAAAAUUACACAUGCAAGCAUCCGCACACCAGUGAGAAUGCCCUACAAAGUACCAAGGAGCAGGUAUCAGGCACAACCAGUUAGCCCAAAACACCUUGCCAUGCCACACCCACACGGGCACCCAGCAGUGAUAAAUAUUAAGCAAUGAGCGAACAACCUACACAAACUCGACUUAGUUAUGAACAAAAGGGCCGGUCAACCUCGUGCCAGCCACCGCGGUUAUACGAAGGGCCCAAAACAUCGGACACCGGCGUAAAUCAUGGCUAGAGGAAACCCUUUGCACAAAGGAAAAUAAAAACAAGCCCAACCGUAAAACCUGGGCUAAAAGAAACCCACCAUUCCAAACUGUAAAGCUACUUGAACCCAUGAAGACUAAGAAACAAACUAGGAUUAGAUACCCUACUAUGCUUAGUUGUUAACACGACAUUAAACAACACCAAUGUCCGCCAGAGGAUUACACGCGAAAAGCUUAAAACUCAAAGGACUUGGCGGUGCUCCGUAUUCGCCUUANAGGAGCCUGUCCUAUAAUCGAUACUCCACGCUUUACCUCACCAUCUUUUGUCACAACAGCCUAUAUACCGCCGUCGCAAGUUUACCC
rnacentral:rRNA from 1 species